ACGCUGGCGGCGUGCCUAAUACAUGCAAGUAGAACGCUGAAGAGAGGAGCUUGCUCUUCUUGGAUGAGUUGCGAACGGGUGAGUAACGCGUAGGUAACCUGCCUUGUAGCGGGGGAUAACUAUUGGAAACGAUAGCUAAUACCGCAUAACAAUAGGUGACACAUGUCAUUUAUUUGAAAGGGGCAAUUGCUCCACUACAAGAUGGACCUGCGUUGUAUUAGCUAGUAGGUGAGGUAACGGCUCACCUAGGCGACGAUACAUAGCCGACCUGAGAGGGUGACCGGCCACACUGGGACUGAGACACAGCCCAGACUCCUACGGGAGGCAGCAGUAGGGAAUCUUCGGCAAUGGGGGCAACCCUGACCGAGCAACGCCGCGUGAGUGAAGAAGGUUUUCGGAUCGUAAAGCUCUGUUGUAAGUCAAGAACGAGUGUGAGAGUGGAAAGUUCACACUGUGACGGUAGCUUACCAGAAAGGGACGGCUAACUACGUGCCAGCAGCCGCGGUAAUACGUAGGUCCCGAGCGUUGUCCGGAUUUAUUGGGCGUAAAGCGAGCGCAGGCGGUUUGAUAAGUCUGAAGUUAAAGGCUGUGGCUCAACCAUAGUUCGCUUUGGAAACUGUCAAACUUGAGUGCAGAAGGGGAGAGUGGAAUUCCAUGUGUAGCGGUGAAAUGCGUAGAUAUAUGGAGGAACACCGGUGGCGAAAGCGGCUCUCUGGUCUGUAACUGACGCUGAGGCUCGAAAGCGUGGGGAGCGAACAGGAUUAGAUACCCUGGUAGUCCACGCCGUAAACGAUGAGUGCUAGGUGUUGGAUCCUUUCCGGGAUUCAGUGCCGCAGCUAACGCAUUAAGCACUCCGCCUGGGGAGUACGACCGCAAGGUUGAAACUCAAAGGAAUUGACGGGGGCCCGCA
rnacentral:rRNA from 1 species